GGAAGGUGCCUGUGUUUGACGGUCUCUCUCUCUGUUACCGGAGGAAGGUGCCUGUGUUUGACGGGUCUCUCUCUGUUACCAGAGGAAGAUGCCUGUGUUUGACGGGUCUCUCUCUGUUACCGGAGGAA